GUCACUUACAUUUUCAGAGAAAAAACACUGUAUAUUCGGUUGUAUUUAUAUGCAAGAAGUCUAUGAAUAUAUUCUGUUUGGUAUCUAACAACAACUAUCCAGACGAUUUCAUUUCUGGGUACAAGAUCACGAUGUUCAUCAUGAUUUUCACAUAAAGGAAGAAAGAUGUUUAAGAGAAAGAUGAUCCCCAAAACAGUAUACAGCCUUUAGAGGUGAUAGAGAUAAUGGAGGAUUGAUGUGCAUUCCAGCUAGAAAACUGAUUGCACAUUAAAAAAAUGUUUUGCCAUUCAACAUUUUCAUUACUUGUGGCUGUAGAUGUUUAGUAAAAGGAAAUAAAUACCAGUAUUUUUGAAAGCUGC